rnacentral:rRNA from 1 species
GAUGAACGCUGGCGGCGUGCCUAAUACAUGCAAGUCGAGCGGACCAAAGAGAGCUUGCUCUCUGAGGUUAGCGGCGGACGGGUGAGUAACACGUGGGUAACCUGCCUGUAAGACGGGGAUAACUUCGGGAAACCGAAGCUAAUACCGGAUGAUAAAGAGAAACGCCUGUUUCUUUUUUGAAGGUCGGCCUUGUGCUGACGCUUACAGAUGGGCCCGCGGCGCAUUAGCUAGUUGGUGAGGUAACGGCUCACCAAGGCAACGAUGCGUAGCCGACCUGAGAGGGUGAUCGGCCACACUGGGACUGAGACACGGCCCAGACUCCUACGGGAGGCAGCAGUAGGGAGUCUUCGGCAAUGGACGAAAGUCUGACCGAGCAACGCCGCGUGAGCGAUGAAGGCCUUCGGGUCGUAAAGCUCUGUUGUCAGAGAAGAACAAGUACCGGAGUAACUGCCGGUACCUUGACGGUACCUGACCAGAAAGCCACGGCUAACUACGUGCCAGCCGCCGCCGUAA